rnacentral:rRNA from 1 species
GCAUAUCAAUAAGCGGAGGAAAAGAAACUAACCAGGAUUCCCCUGGUAACGGCGAGUGAAGAGGGAAAAGCCCAAAUUUGUAAUCUGGCUCUUUUUAUAAGGGUCCGAGUUGUAAUUUUGAGAACUGUUAUCUGUGCUGGACCAUGUAGAAGUCUGUUGAAAAACAGCAUCGUUGAGGGUGAAAAUCCCGUUAAUGAUAUGGACUACCAGGGCAAUAUGAUACAGUCUCUAAGAGUCGAGUUGUUUGGGAAUGCAGCUCAAAGUGGGUGGUAAAUUCCAUCUAAGGCUAAAUAUAGGUGAGAGACCGAUAGCAAACAAGUACCGUGAGGGAAAGAUGAAAAGAACUCUGGAAAGAGAGUUAACAGUACGUGAAAUUGUUAAAAGGGAAACAUUUAAAGUUAGACUUGUUCUCAUUGGAUCAGCUUCUUUAUUGAGGUGUAUUCUGAUGAUGUACAGACCAGCAUCAAUUUUUGGGUGUUUGAUAAGGGUUUUGGGAAUGUGGCAGCUUCGGUUGUGUUAUAGACCAUUACUUUGAUAGAAUGCCUAGGAUUGAGGAACGCAGUAAGCUUUGUUGCAGAUUUUUUUUGGAAGUCUCCUUACUACGGAUGUUGGUGCAAUAGCUUUAAAUGACCCGUCUUGAAACACGGACC